rnacentral:rRNA from 1 species
UACGGAGGAUGCGAGCGCUAUCCGGAUUUAUUGUGUUUAAAGGGUGCGUAGGCGGAAGAUUAAGCGUGAGGUGAAAUGCCCAGGCUCAACCUGGGAACUGCCUCGCGAACUGGUUUUCUGGAAUGCCCCUGCCGUGGGAGGAAUGUGUGGUGUAGCGGUGAAAUGCAUAGAGAUCACACAGAACACCGAUUGCGAAGGCAUCUCACGAAGGGGUGAUUGACGCUGAGGCACGAAAGCGUGGGGAUCAAAC